UACGUAGGGGGCAAGCGUUGUCCGGAAUCAUUGGGCGUAAAGAGCGCGUAGGCGGUCCGGUAAGUCCGCUCUGAAAUCCCUCGGCUCAACCGAGGAACGUCGAUCGAUACUGCUGUUCUUGAGGAUUGCAGAGGAGACUGGAAUUCCCGGUGUAGCGGUGAAAUGUGUAGAGAUCGGGAGGAACACCGGUGGCGAAGGCGGGUCUCUGGGCAAUUCCUGACGCUGAGGCGCGAAAGCGUGGGGAGCGAACGGG
rnacentral:rRNA from 1 species